rnacentral:rRNA from 1 species
GUAGGGGGCGAACGUUUGUCCGGAUUUAUUGGGCGUAAAGGGCUCGUAGGCGGCUUAGCAAGUCGACCGUGAAAACCCAGGGCUCAACCCUGGGACGCCGGUCGAAACUGCUAUGGCUAGGGUCCGGUAGAGGUGAGUGGAAUUCUCGGUGUAGCGGUGAAAUGCGCAGAUAUCGAGAGGAACACCAUUAGCGAAGGCGGCUCACUGGGCCGGUACCGACGCUGAGGAGCGAAAGCGUGGGGAGCAAACAGGAUUAGAUACCCUGGGUAGUCCACGCCGUAAACGUUGAACACUAGGUGUGGCGGACUUAUCCCACGUCCCGCCGUGCCGCAGCUAACGCAUUAAGUGUUCCGCCUGGGGAGUACGGCCGCAAGGCUG